rnacentral:rRNA from 1 species
AGACGGAGGUGGCGAGCGUUAUCCGGAUUUACUGGGCGUAAAGCGUCCGCAGGCGGCCGACCAGGUCGGCGGUGAAAGCUCCCGGCUCAACUGGGAGAGGUCCGUCGAAACCGGUCGGCUCGAGGGUCGGAGAGGGGGGUGGAAUUCCCGGUGUAGCGGUGAAAUGCGCAGAUAUCGGGAGGAACACCGGUGGCGAAGGCGGCCCCCUGGCCGACCCCUGACGCUCAGGGACGAAAGCGUGGGGAGCAAACAGGAUUAGAAACCCUUGUAGUCC